GACGAACGCUGGCGGCGUGCUUAACACAUGCAAGUCGAACGGGCUGCCUGGUUUUCGGAUCGGGUGGUGAGUGGCGAACGGGUGAGUAACACGUGAGUAACCUGCCCCUCUCUUUGGGAUAACGUCGGGAAAUCGGCGCUAAUACCGGGUAUUCUGGCUUCCUCGCAUGGGGUUGUUGGGAAAGGUUUUUUCUGGUGGGGGAUGGGCUCGCGGCCUAUCAGCUUGUUGGUGGGGUGAUGGCCUACCAAGGCGGUGACGGGUAGCCGGCCUGAGAGGGUGUCCGGCCACACUGGGACUGAGACACGGCCCAGACUCCUACGGGAGGCAGCAGUGGGGAAUAUUGCACAAUGGGCGGAAGCCUGAUGCAGCGACGCCGCGUAGGGGAUGACGGCCUUCGGGUUGUAAACCUCUUUCAGUGCAGAACAAGGCUCUUUGUGGGUUGAGGGUAUGCGCAGAAGAAGCGCCGGCUAACUACGUG
rnacentral:rRNA from 1 species